GACUUUACCUGACUUUCUAACAGCACUCCGCCUUCGAUUUCUUUGAGAUUGUUCUCUUUCAAUGUGGUCCCGCUACUGACGAGAUCUACGAUAGCAUCAGCUAUCCCCAUCUAUAUACGCAAGUGAAAAUAUGUGAUGAAAUUGAUAUAAUAAAAUAUGAAACUUUUUACAAACCCAACUUUAAAAAAGGACAGUGAGCUAUAUCAGGUAAAUCUCCUAUCGUAUAUACGAAGUCACAUGAUAACUGUAUAAUGUAAUUCCUAUCCUGGUUAACUUAACUUUAUAUAAACCCAACUUCAUUUUGAGAGGAAAAAUGAUGAAAAAAAAAUAAUAUUUAUUGCUCAUGGGGAACGAGAGGCUGCACCAGCACUUCAGCAGUGAGACAUUGUUCAAGUUCAAGUCCAUUUAUCAUGGCAUAUUACAUGAACAUGAAUCAAAGAAUGUCUCACCGUAGAAGAUGCCCCGUUAGUACGGACUUUUAAUUUUUUUCUUCAACAUUUUCUUAAGUAUAUUUAGGAGAAAACCAAACAGAAUCACAACCACGAUAUCAAAAGAAAACCAAACCUAUUGAGAGAUCAAUGAUCUGGUUAUGUUUUCUUAUAACAGAUUAUUAUGGUUCAGUAAUGGUUAUAUGUGUAUAGUAUAACUAACCGAAUUAACCCAGGUUACAUUAAAACCCAACUUUAAAUAUAUUGUUUUUUAAUUAUAUGUUCUAUGUCAAAAGAAUUGUUACAAAUAUUUACAAAUAACAUAUAAGUUAUUUAUGCUACUUUAUAAAUUGAAAGGGCUGCCGAUAUCUUAUAUUUGACCCAAGAUAUAAUUGGACUUAUUCACUGAAAUUAACUUGAAUACACCUACAUCCAAAGCCAGCAAUUACCGAAUUAACCAAACCAUCUUGUCCAAUAAAUGAACUUACCGAAAUCCGAAAAAUUUAGAACCAAUCCAAUCGGUUAAAAGAAAUCUAAAACUCGACACAUUAGUUUUAGGUUAGGUUUUAGCCCAAAAACAAACUGACCCAUAAUUACCCCUAAUUUUAUGUGAUCCAAACCAUUACUUGGAUUUAGAUAUUUAUUGAAUUAUAUUUGUGGUGGCACCUCAAGGAACCAAUUAGAAAACUUAACCAUUAUUACUACACAACCAUGGGAAGUAAAAAGAAAUAUGACAUAAAGAUCCCAACUUUCUUGUAAGCUCAUGCAUCUCAUUAUAAAUAAACUUGAAUUGAAACAUAACUCACCGCAGGAGCUGCCUCGAGUGCCCCAUCAGCAGUUGAAAACUCAACAUGCUGAAGCCCGCUCUCUUUCAGAAACUUAGGACCCAACUGAAAGAAAAAAAAAAGAAAAUUAUAUAAAUAUCUGAGUUGGUUACUAGGAAAGAAAACUACAAUAGCACCAUGAAAGACGAAUUAUAAAUUACAUAUGUGAAACCAGUGGCAACUCUUAGAGGCUUCUCAGCGGUCCAUUGAGGCAUUUCGGCUAGUUCCUUCAUUGAAUUAAUUUUCUCAAAGAUCCCAUACUUUGGAAUCUGUUAAAAACCGAAAAUGAAUUCAUCUAAGUUAAAACUUACUGCAAGAGAUAAACGACAAUCUCCAUAUGCAAGUGCAUCGUGAACAAGGAUUAGAUCUUCAUUUCCCUAUGAAUAACAAUUAAAAACCAUAACUUUACAUGCUAUUAACACAGGCAAGCAGUGAGAUGAUCAAAUACUUUGAACACAAUGACAUUAUAGAAACUUUAGUACUUAUGUAAUUUUCUACUUUUAAUUCUUUCCCUUUAUCCUCCAUUUGUCAAGUUUAUUUCUUGCAAUCAAGUAAGUUUCUGGCAAAAAGAACAAAACAAGAAACAUGGAACAGUGUGCUGAAAAAUGAAAAUCAACUAAAAGGUUUUACUUUGAUCACUCAUAAAAAAUAAAAACCACACGAAAACCGAAGACCAUACUACCAAGUACUUGUUAGCAUAAUUUACAGUUAAAAUACAUCAACUUACAGCUUAGGUUCAACAUGGAACUUUCGUGUGGCCGAAUCCUCUUAAGAUCAAGAUAAAGAUCUUAAAAUACAAGGCAAGGUUAUUGUUACAACGAAUUUAUAUUUUGAGAAACGUGAUAUCAAAGAUUUAACAAGAAAAAAGAAAGUAACAGACUGACAAAUAAAGUUACUACCACGUAAAAAUAAUCUAGUCAAAAUUGUGAUAUAAAUACCAUAAAGAAAUCAACAAUAAUGAUGCUGUAUGAAAUGAAACCAGAAGAAUGAGCUAUAAAUUUUAC
rnacentral:lncRNA from 1 species